GUGGGAUUGGGAGGAAAUGAGGGAGCGGGAUACAGCUGGGAUACAGAGUUAACAAAAUGUAACUAAUAAGAAAAAAAAAGAAAAGAAAAGAAAAGAAAAGAAAAGAAAAGAAAAGAAAAGAAAAGAAAAGAAAAGAAAAGAAAAGAAACCCAUGUCUUUCUGGGUGGCCUUGAACUCUGUAACCAAAGCUGGCUUUGAACUUGCCUUCCUCCCGAGUAGCUGGCGUUGAUGAGAAUUCCAGGAAAUAAGCUGUGUCUGCAGAGACUGGUUAGCUGUAGUGACGUGAGGAGUCGGGAAUGCUGCAGGACCAGAGGUUUGCUUUAUCUCCAAUGAGCUUGAGCCCUUGGACCAGCCAUUAUUUGCCCACCUCUGUAUCAGAACUAACAUCCUUUGACUAACAGAUAAAAACCUUUCGGGAAUCUAUUAAAUUAGCAGACUACUGGACGUCCACCAACCCAAAGGACCCAGGCAUGGCCACAGACACAGGACUGCAGAGUCAGCGACACCACCGUCAGCUUUACAUAAAGCUUGCUGAUGCUGAAACUGUGGCACCUAAAUACAGCAGCUUCUGUCUAUCAGAACCUUUAUGGCGCCUGGAUGCAGCAGCUUCUAUCAGAACCCUUAACAAAUCCCUAGGAACACUGCUUUACUGGAUUCGCUAGAAGGGGUUCAAGAACAAACGUCCAGAAGAAGAACCCAUCCUUCCUGGAGGCCGGAAGAGACAGCUGAUCAUGAGAGGGUAUGGAAGCAACGGCGAUGCCUACGGAGAAGUCCUUACUGCUUAUCAAUCCCAAAGUAAAAUAAGCCAACUUGAGGUCACUACAUUAUGCCUGCUUCAACCACAUGACAGCCUGGAAGGGGCAGAGUACAGAGAGAGUGAAACAAGAGGUUUCUCUGUGUAACCUUGGCUGUCCUGGACUCACUUUGUAGACCAACCUGGCUCUGAACCCACAGAUCUGCCUUCCUCUGUCUCCUAAGUGUUGAAAUUAAAAUGCAUGCACCACCACCA